rnacentral:rRNA from 1 species
UAUUGCACAAUGGGGGAAACCCUGAUGCAGCGACGCCGCGUGAGCGAUGAAGUAUUUCGGUAUGUAAAGCUCUAUCAGCCGGGAAGAAAAUGACGGUACCUGACUAAGAAGCCCAGGCUAACUACGUGCCAGCAGCCGCGGUAAUACGUAGGGGGCAAGCGUUAUCCGGAUUUAAUGGGUGUAAAGGGAGCGUAGACGGCAAUACAAGUCGGAAGUGAAAUACCCGGGCUCAACCUGGGAAAUGCUUUGGAAACUGUAUGGCUGGAGUGCUGGAGAGGUAAGCGGAAUUCCUAGUGUAGCGGUGAAAUGCGUAGAUAUUAGGAGGAACACCAGUGGCGAAGGCGGCUCACUGGACAGUAACUGACGUUGAGGCUCGAAAGCGUGGGGAGCAAACAGG